rnacentral:snRNA from 1 species
GGAUGUGAGGGUAAUCUGGCUGUGACAUCUGUCACCCCCUGAUCCCCAGGGUUGAUUCAGCUGAUCUGAUUGGCUUGGUGGGUGUCCCCUUCCUCACUCACUGCUCCACAGAGUCCCUCCUGCAGCUGCAUGAUCAGUCAAAACGGUCGACCUUUCCAAUAGAGGAAGACCAUUCUUUAGUCAACGGUAUAUGAGUAGAUGCACUCCCCUGCUAGAACCUCCAAACAAGCUCUCAAGUUAAGCUCAACAAAGUUAGGUUAACUCAGGCCAGAUGCAGAGGUGCACAUCUAUAAUCCUAGCUAU